rnacentral:rRNA from 1 species
AUUGAACGCUGGCGGCAGGCCUAACACAUGCAAGUCGAGCGGAUGAAGGGAGCUUGCUCCUGGAUUCAGCGGCGGACGGGUGAGUAAUGCCUAGGAAUCUGCCUGGUAGUGGGGGAUAACGUCCGGAAACGGGCGCUAAUACCGCAUACGUCCUGAGGGAGAAAGUGGGGGAUCUUCGGACCUCACGCUAUCAGAUGAGCCUAGGUCGGAUUAGCUAGUUGGUGGGGUAAAGGCCUACCAAGGCGACGAUCCGUAACUGGUCUGAGAGGAUGAUCAGUCACACUGGAACUGAGACACGAUCCAGACUCCUACGGGAGGCAGCAGUGGGGAAUAUUGGACAAUGGGCGAAAGCCUGAUCCAGCCAUGCCGCGUGUGUGAAGAAGGUCUUCGGAUUGUAAAGCACUUUAAGUUGGGAGGAAGGGCAGUAAGUUAAUACCUUGCUGCUUUGACGUUACCAACAGAAUAAGCACCGGCUAACUUCGUG